rnacentral:lncRNA from 1 species
UUUAUACAUGUGUCCAUAGUUGAUGUAUGAACAACAUGCAGGGUAGACAAAAAAAUCGAAAGUAAAUCCCACUGCUGAACAAAUGAACAUACGGUAGCAGGACUGCAAGUGGCAUCGGUGAGAGCAUGUACAUAAGCAACAAGUGGCAUGGUCAUUUGGCCAAACAUGUACAACCUGUAUGUGUCAGUUGAGUUUAGAAGCACCUACUAUCAAUAUCCCCCGCUGUUCUAUGAUCCCAACAAUGUGGAAGCGGACUUAACAUUAUCACAGAAGGCGCCACCAGAAUCACAAAUUGGAACGGGGCAACCACAGACCAACCUUAACACACUUGUAACAUGCACGGGAUGAGGUUGCUGAAGAUCUGAAGUAUGUUAAG